GUUAGGAAUAUUGGACAAUGGGCGCAAGCCUGAUCCAGCCAUGCCGCGUGAGUGAUGAAGGCCUUCGGGUUGUAAAGCUCUUUAGUCCACGAAUAUAAUGACUGGAGUGGAAGAAUAAGCCCCGGCUAACUUCGUGCCAGCAGCCGCGGUAAUACGAAGGGGGCGAGCGUUAUUCGGAAUCACUGGGCGUAAAGCGUGCGUAGGCUGAUUUGUACGUCAGAAGUGAAAGCCCAGGGCUUAACCCUGGAAUUGCUUUUGAAACUACAAGACUCGAAUUCGGGAGAGGAUAGCGGAAUUGUCAGUGUAGCAGUGAAAUGCGUAGAUAUUGACAGGAACACCAGUGGCGCAAGCGGCUAUCUGGACCGAUAUUGACGCUGAGGCACGAAAGCGUGGGGAGCAAACAGGAUUAGAAACCCUUGUAGUCC
rnacentral:rRNA from 1 species